ACAGCUUGCUGUUUCGCUGACGAGUGGCGGACGGGUGAGUAAUGUCUGGGAAACUGCCUGAUGGAGGGGGAUAACUACUGGAAACGGUAGCUAAUACCGCAUAACGUCGCAAGACCAAAGAGGGGGACCUUCGGGCCUCUUGCCAUCGGAUGUGCCCAGAUGGGAUUAGCUAGUAGGUGGGGUAACGGCUCACCUAGGCGACGAUCCCUAGCUGGUCUGAGAGGAUGACCAGCCACACUGGAACUGAGACACGGUCCAGACUCCUACGGGAGGCAGCAGUGGGGAAUAUUGCACAAUGGGCGCAAGCCUGAUGCAGCGACGCCGCGUGCGGGAUGGAGGCCUUCGGGUUGUAAACCGCUUUUGUUCAAGGGCAAGGCACGGUUUCGGCCGUGUUGAGUGGAUUGUUCGAAUAAGCACCGGCUAACUACGUGCCAGCAGCCGCGGUAAUACGUAGGGUGCGAGCGUUAUCCGGAUUUAUUGGGCGUAAAGGGCUCGUAGGCGGUUCGUCGCGUCCGGUGUGAAAGUCCAUCGCCUAACGGUGGAUCUGCGCCGGGUACGGGCGGGCUGGAGUGCGGUAGGGGAGACUGGAAUUCCCGGUGUAACGGUGGAAUGUGUAGAUAUCGGGAAGAACACCAAUGGCGAAGGCAGGUCUCUGGGCCGUCACUGACGCUGAGGAGCGAAAGCGUGGGGAGCGAACAGGAUUAGAUACCCUGGUAGUCCACGCCGUAAACGGUGGAUGCUGGAUGUGGGGCCCUUUCCACGGGUCCCGUGUCGGAGCCAACGCGUUAAGCAUCCCGCCUGGGGAGUACGGCCGCAAGGCUAAAACUCAAAGAAAUUGACGGGGGCCCGCACAAGCGGCGGAGCAUGCGGAUUAAUUCGAU
rnacentral:rRNA from 1 species